UACGUAGGGGGCAAGCGUUGUCCGGAUUCAUUGGGCGUAAAGAGCUCGUAGGCGGUUCGGUAAGUCGGGUGUGAAAUCUCCGUGCUCAACACGGAGCGGCCACCUGAUACUGCCGUGACUCGAGUCCGGUAGGGGAGUGUGGAAUUCCCGGUGUAGCGGUGAAAUGCGCAGAUAUCGGGAGGAACACCUGUGGCGAAAGCGGCUCACUGGACCACAACUGACGCUGAGGCGCGAAAGCUAGGGGAGCAAACAGG
rnacentral:rRNA from 1 species